AACGAACGCUGGCGGCAUGCCUAACACAUGCAAGUCGAACGAGACCUUCGGGGCUAGUGGCGCACGGGUGCGUAACGCGUGGGAACCUGCCCUUAGGUUCGGAAUAACUCCCCGAAAGGGGUUCUAAUACCGGAUACUGUCUGCGGACCAAAGAUUUAUCGCCUUUGGAUGGGCCCGCGUUGGAUUAGCUAGUUGGUAGGGUAAAAGCCUACCAAGGCGACGAUCCAUAGCUGGUCUGAGAGGAUGAUCAGCCACACUGGGACUGAGACACGGCCCAGACUCCUACGGGAGGCAGCAGUGGGGAAUAUUGGACAAUGGGCGAAAGCCUGAUCCAGCCAUGCCGCGUGAGUGAUGAAGGCCUUAGGGUUGUAAAGCUCUUUUACCCGGGAUGAUAAUGACAGUACCGGGAGAAUAAGCCCCGGCUAACUUCGUG
rnacentral:rRNA from 1 species